GCUCCCGUAGUGUAGUCCGGUCAAUCAUGCAACCCUCUCACGGUUGCGACUCGGGUUCAAAUCCCGACGGGAGCG
rnacentral:tRNA from 1 species